GAGCAUGAUGUCACUGACUGAACGUCAGUGUCUGAACUGAUGAAUCCUCUGCGGCCGAACCCAUAAAUCUGACGGAGUGCAGCAACCAGCGCUCGGAGGGACGAGUGGAGGGGGGUUCGUAGGACACACCCAUUGGCAGAGGAGAGUGGGAUGAAAGGAACUGGGAGGGCAGCUCUGCAGCACUGCAUGUGCUCCAGAUCAGGCCAUGUGCACACAGGGAAAGCACCAUGGUGUUUUCCAAGGACCGUCAUUCCUCUCUGACACACACUGUGCAUCCACACCGCGCUUUUCCCCGAACUCCUCCCCUCUCGGCCCGUCUGUUUCUCUCAUAUUGUGUCUCGGUAUCGGCUGCCCACUCUCUCUCUCUCUCUCUCUGGCUGGGUCAUGGUAGUGGAGUAGUUUACAGCUCUUGGUCAGCUCCGUGUGUGUCGCGCUGUGUGUG